CGGCGAAGUUUUCAACACUUAGUGAGUAUAGUAGUUGAUAUUUUGUUUCUCUUCGGCCGGGCUUGUGUUUAACAGAAGUGUUUCCUUUCGCAGGUUCCCUCCCUCGGUGCGAGCUAUCGACAGAGGACUUCGACACUAUCUGUAUUAUUUAUCAGCUGCCUCAGAAGAAGAGGUCAUAUCACAGGCUGAUUCGGAAAAACAUACAUUUCAUCACUCACGACUUAAUGGCGUCCCAAGGUAAUAGGACCGAAGCCCACACUUUUUUAAACCGAACUCCCUAUACUUGUAUUAAUUUCUCAUUCGUUUCUCUGCAGAUAACUUCAACAAGAAGCUGCCAGUACGCCCCGACUUCAAAACCAUUCAGAAAAUGAUGGCUGAAGCAAGGGCGUUGAAGGCCUCCUCCUCUUCAUAUAAGAAGCAAAUGGAGGAGCUGGUGGAGGCCAGUAAGAGACUUCAGCCUCCGACGGAGGAGGAGGUUCAGGAGGAUCCGGAGGCCGACCUCCGAAGGAAGGGCAAGAAAAGUACUGCUCCUCCCAGACGCCCAACUGUGGCGAGGCCACCCCCAGUUAUGCGGCAGACAACUAUUCCCACGGGGGUGGCCCUCCUAGAAAGAAACCCCACUGCUACGGAGCCUGUCGCUGCCCCGGACACGGCGCCCCUUGCGGCCGUACCUAUUGAACACGUUCCGGGGCAGCAGAGGAGGAAAAGGGCCCGCUCCAGCAAAGAAGUCGACUUCCUCGGCACCAGUUCAGAAGAGCCAGUAAGGGAGGUGCUGGAGGCUCUCCCCCCGGAAACAGCUGCAGUGGCGGUGGUCCACAGCAAGUAUUGGACCGAAGAGUGGAGGGACCACACCGCCUCCUGCACUGCCGAAGACUUGGUGGCGGCGAACAGCGCCUGCGUGGCCCGGGCACUGAGCACAAGUAUCCAACUCGAGGGCUUGGAGAAGGAUCUAAACUCCAAGAGGGAGGACCUCGCCAAGCGCCUCGAGGAGGCGAUGCACUACGGGGACGCUGUGCGGGCUGCCCAGGCCAAAGCCGCCAAAGCAGAGGAGGGGAAGAGAGCUGCUGAGGUCCAGCUCGCUGCUUCGCAGGCGGAUGUGGAGCGGCUGAAAAAGGAGCUCUAUGAGGUGGAGUGCCAGGUGGCUGUGGUGACUCGGCGGCUUGACCACGCUAACGAGCACCACAAGCUUGCCACCGAUGCCCUGGAGGCCUCCAACAGAGAAAAAGCGGAGCUGAAGCAGCAAGCAGAGGCCCAGUCAGUGGAGAUUGCCUCUCUGAGGGAGGAGUUAAAGUCUGCGGGGGAGGUGGCGGUUCAAAAUUUUAUUGAUCACUUCGAAGACCACCCCCUUUACGACGAUUUUGCCAACUUCUGGGCCUCGUGGAGUGCCCAGAACCUACUGGGUCGGCUGAGGGAGGUGCACCCUACACUGGACAUCUCUCAACUAGAGGCAGAGUUCGGGGGACCCACUGGAGGUCGGCCUGACAAGGUUACUGAGGAGGUUCCAGAGGCCCAGGAGGCGGCCAGUGCUGAAAUUCCUCCCACAGAUUAGGGUUUCCUUUGUAAUGGCUUCGGCCCCCCAUGUACUUCAAUUUCAUGAAAUGGAAAAUUUUGUUAAAUUUCUGUAAAGUUCUUUUGCUUCUGCUUCUUUGUAUCCCUUUUUGUUUUAUACUUGUAUGAAUGACAAACAUUAGGCCAACUGCCUCGCGACAACGACCAGUUAACAAUCGUGAAUCGGUCCCCUUAAGCGAACAUAAGUGAACACUUGAGUGAGUAGGAAGUGACCCCUUACCUUAACUUCUUAAUAACCUGAGGCUAGAUCAAUUGGGAAAACGCGAGGAAACGUUUGUUCAGCUAAUAAGUGACGAUCGAAUCGCUCAAAUGAACCUUUCGAAGAACUGAGGAAACCAUUCCCUGGCUGAUCCGGUUUGGAACUGAAAAUUCAUUACUGAAGAUAAAUUACACCACCCUUUACAAAGGUAAUUCCAUCCCUUAAUAAUCUUUACAACCAAUGCCAGAUCAGGACAACCGAUUUAGCUAUGACGACCUAGGAUCAAAUCGGAACAUUCUUGUUACUGAUAGUAUUUUCUCAAGUGCUCGAUGUUCCACUUGUGAGGUAACACCCUUCCUGACAUAUCUUCGACCUCGAAAGUACCAGGUCGGGAUUCUCCCUGAAUGCGGUACGGGCCUUCCCAGUUCGGGCUAAAAACUCCUGACCCGGUUGGUUUCGAAGAUUGGAACACUCUUUUGAGAACGAGGUCGCCCAAGUGGAGAGUCCUGUUUCUGACCUUGGAGUUGUAAAAGCGGGUCAUCUUACGAUGAUAUUUCGCUAAGGUCAUCUGGGAAGCGUCUCUCUUUUCCUCAAGGAGGUGUAGUUCACUUAUGCGCGCCUCAUCGUUGCUGAUCUCAUUGAAAUGUAUCCGCCGAUGUGAUGGGACACCGACCUCGACCGGACUCAUCGCUUCGGCUCCGUAGGUCAUUGAGAAUGGGGUCUCGCCCGUUGCGGUCCGGCAAGUUGUUCUGAUGGCCCAGAGGACGUGGGGGAGUUCGUCAACCCAGGCGCCUUUUGAGGCAUCCAGUUUCCUUUUCAGGGUGUACUUGAUAGUCUUGUUCACUGCUUCGACCUGUCCAUUUGCCUGAGGGUGAUGUGGAGUCGAGAAGUCUUUCUUUAUGCCUAGUUCGUCGCAUAACUCUCGCAUCUUCCUGUUGUCGAACUGCCGCCCAUUAUCAGAGACAAUGGAGUGAGGGAUGCCGAACCUGCAAAUGACGUUCUUCCAAACGAACUUCGUAGUGUUGGCCUCGGUGAUUCGGGCAAGGGGUUCUGCCUCGACCCACUUAGUGAAGUAGUCGAUGGCGACAAUGGCAAAAGUUGCGCUUCCCCUACCCUUUGGUAGCGGACCAAUGAAGUCGAUGCCCCACUUGGCGAAUGGCCAAGGGCUGGUCACUAUAGAGAGGCUCUGCGCAGGCUGUCUUUGUACGUUCGAGAAGCGCUGGCAUUUGUCACAUUUCUGGACAAAUUGGCAAGCAUCCCUUUUCAGGGUUGGCCAGAAGUAGCCCUGACGGAGAACCUUGUGUGCCAGAGCCGUCCCUCCGGAGUGAUUUCCGCAGAUCCCUUCAUGUAUUUCUCUGAGUACGUAGGUGGCCUCUUCGCCGCCUACACAUCGAAGAAGGGGAGAGGCAAAGCCCCUCUUGUAAAGGGUUCCUUCUUGAAGGACGAAGUGUGCAGCCCUUCUUCUUAACUUCCUUGCUUCACUUCUGGAAGCAGGCAGCGUUUGCUCUUUUAGAUAUGCAAUUAUGGGCUGCAUCCACAAUGGGGUGCCUUCUAUCCAUAGUAACUCUUCACCCUCGAAGGUGGAGGGCUUUGAUAAGUGCUCAAUGGGGACGAUGUUCAGAAGCUCUGAGUUCACGCUGCUGGCCAACUUUGAGAGGGCAUCUGCAUGGGCAUUCUCUAGACGGGGGACUUGAGUCAGUUCGAACUUUUCGAAAUGGGGAAUUAUGUCCAGAACCAGCUUCAAGUAUGCGCGCAUGUUAUCAUCUUUGGC
rnacentral:lncRNA from 1 species